GUGGUUCCACUUGAGUUAAAAGAAGUAAGAGGACGGUGUAAAACCAGGAGACCUCUGGAGAACACAGAAACAAACCACUAAAGACUGGGCAUCGAAAUACUGAGAUUUCAAAAUGAAAGCUGCCGUGUGUGCCGUCCUCCUCUUGCUGACUCUAUAUCAAGCUGAGGCCCUGUUGUGUUUACAAUGUAUUUCCGAAGAUAAUACUCUCUGCACCACUGUAUCUAAAAAAAACCUUCAGUUCUGUCAUAUGGACCAACCAUUGUGUAUUUCCGUCACAUUCCACGACGAACGCAAAUCAUUCCGCUCAUGUGCGACCUCUGGAGUGUUGGUGCAAUACAUGAGAGACCGGCGUGCAUCAAUCACCUACUGCGAUACGGAUGUCUGCAUGUCUGCAACUCGGAGUAGACCUCUGUGAAGAUUGGUUAGCAUCCACUUGGGCCACCACUGCCAGUGUGUAUGUGUGGGAGUGUUUUUUUUAAGUGAAUUAUUAAAAAAGACAAAGCAAUGAUAUAAAAUAA